rnacentral:rRNA from 1 species
GGUGGUGCAUGGUUGUCGUCAGCUCGUGUCGUGAGAUGUUGGGUUAAGUCCCGCAACGAGCGCAACCCUCGACCUUAGUUGCCAGCAUUCAGUUGGGCACUCUAAGGUGACUGCCGGCUAAAAGUCGGAGGAAGGUGGGGAUGACGUCAAAUCAUCAUGCCCCUUAUGACCUGGGCUACACACGUGCUACAAUGGGCGGUACAAAGGGUCGCGAACCCGCGAGGGGGAGCCAAUCCCAAAAAGCCGCUCUCAGUUCGGAUUGCAGGCUGCAACUCGCCUGCAUGAAGCCGGAAUCGCUAGUAAUCGCGGAUCAGCAUGCCGCGGUGAAUACGUUCCCGGGCCUUGU